rnacentral:snoRNA from 1 species
UUAUAUAUUAAAAAGCUAUUGGAGGGAAAAAUGCUAAAAAAACAGCAUUUUGAAUUAUUAAAACUUAUUGAAAAUGAAAAAAAACUAUCUAAAA